rnacentral:rRNA from 1 species
AUUGAACGCUGGCGGCAGGCCUAACACAUGCAAGUCGAGCGGAGCGGCGGACGGGUGAGUAAUGCCUAGGAAUCUGCCUGGUAGUGGGGGAUAACGUCCGGAAACGGGCGCUAAUACCGCAUACUAUCAGAUGAGCCUAGGUCGGAUUAGCUAGUUGGUGGGGUAAAGGCCUACCAAGGCGACGAUCCGUAACUGGUCUGAGAGGAUGAUCAGUCACAUGGGAACGGAGAAACGGUCCAGACUCCUACGGGAGGCAGAAUGGGGGAAUAUUGGCCAAGGGGAGAAAGCCUGAUCCAGCCAUGCCGCGUGUGUGAAGAAGGUUUUCGGUUUUUAAAGCAUUUUAAGUUGGGAGGCGUUACCAACAGAAUAAGCACCGGCUAACUUCGUGCCAGCAGCCGCGGUAAUUC